rnacentral:tRNA from 1 species
GGUGGCUCAGUGGUAGAGCGCUUGUCUUGCAUGCAUGAGGCCCUGGGUUCCAAUCCUCAGCACCA